rnacentral:rRNA from 1 species
GACGUAGGGGGCCAGCGUUGCUCGGAAUUACUGGGCGUAAGGGGUUCGUAGGCGGUGUGGCAAGUCGGGAGUGAAAUCUCUGGGCUUAACUCAGAGGCUGCUUCCGAAACUGCCGUGCUAGAGUGCGGGAGAGGCGAGUGGAAUUGCAGGUGUAGCGGUGAAAUGCGUAGAUAUCUGCAGGAACACCCGUGGCGAAGGCGGCUCGCUGGACCGCAACUGACGCUGAGGAACGAAAGCUAGGGGAGCAAACAGG